AUGUGGCUUCUGCCGAGCUUGCGUCUGUUUUGUCUUUUUUGCAGGAUGUUACCACAAGCAAUGCGCCCGACGACAGGUUCCUCAUCCACGGCUCCUCGUUCACCUCGAGGUGCGCCUACUCUUUGCUCUCCUCUGACCAUGAGCUUGACCUCAACGCUGGGCACAUUUGGGGAUCCAAGGCACCAAUCAAGGUGA
rnacentral:rRNA from 1 species